GAUGAACGCUAGCUACAGGCUUAACACAUGCAAGUCGAGGGGAAACGACAUCGAAAGCUUGCUUUUGAUGGGCGUCGACCGGCGCACGGGUGAGUAACGCGUAUCCAACCUGCCCACCACUUGGGGAUAACCUUGCGAAAGUAAGACUAAUGCCCAAUGACGUCUCUAGAAGACAUCUGAAAGAGAUUAAAGAUUUAUCGGUGAUGGAUGGGGAUGCGUCUGAUUAGCUUGUUGGCGGGGUAACGGCCCACCAAGGCGACGAUCAGUAGGGGUUCUGAGAGGAAGGUCCCCCACAUGGGAACUGAGACACGGUCCAAACUCCUACGGGAGGCAGCAGUGAGGAAUAUUGGUCAAUGGACGAGAGUCUGAACCAGCCAAGUAGCGUGCAGGAGGACGGCCCUAUGGGUUGUAAACUGCUUUUAUAAGGGAAUAAAGUGAGUCUCGUGAGACUUUUUGCAUGUACCUUAUGAAUAAGGACCGGCUAAUUCCGUG
rnacentral:rRNA from 1 species